rnacentral:rRNA from 1 species
CCUACGGGUGGCAGCAGUGGGGAAUAUUGCACAAUGGGGGAAACCCUGAUGCAGCGACGCCGCGUGAGUGAAGAAGUAAUUCGUUAUGUAAAGCUCUAUCAGCAGGGAAGUAACAUACGGUACCUGAGUAAGAAGCUACGGCUAACUACGUGCCAGCAGCCGCGGUAAUACGUAGGGGGCAAGCGUUAUCCGGAUUUACUGGGGGUAAAGGGAGCGUAGACGGUGAAGAAAGUCUGUAGUGAAAGCUUGCGGCUUAACCGCGGAACUGCUGUGGAAACUGUGUUGCUGGAGUACCGUAGAGGUAAGCGGAAUUCGUGGUGUAGCGGUGAAAUGCGUAGAUAUUAGGAGGAACCCCAGUGGCGAAGGCGGCUUACUGGACGGUAACUGACGUUGAGGCUCGAAAGCGUGGGGAGCAAACAGGAUUAGAUACCCUAGUAGUC